ACGGCUAUACCAUGCUGAAUAUACCGGUUCUCGUUAGAUCACCGAAGUCAAGCAUCAUUGGGCGCGGUCAGUACUUGGGUGGGUGACCACCUGGGAACACCGCGUGCCGUU
rnacentral:rRNA from 1 species